rnacentral:rRNA from 1 species
UACGAAGGGUGCAAGCGUUACUCGGAAUUACUGGGCGUAAAGCGUGCGUAGGUGGUUCGUUAAGUCUGAUGUGAAAGCCCUGGGCUCAACCUGGGAAUGGCAUUGGAAACUGGCGACCUAGAGUGCGGUAGAGGGUAGUGGAAUUCCCGGUGUGAGCAGUGAAAUGCGUAGAGAUCGGGAGGAACAUCCGUGGCGAAGGCGACUACCUGGACCAGCACUGACACUGAGGCACGAAAGCGUGGGGAGCAAACAGGG